rnacentral:rRNA from 1 species
CCUACGCGAGGCAGCAGUGGGGAAUAUUGCACAAUGGGGGGAACCCUGAUGCAGCGACGCCGCGUGAGUGAAGAAGUAUUUCGGUAUGUAAAGCUCUAUCAGCAGGGAAGAAGAUGACGGUACCUGACUAAGAAUCCCCGGCUAACUACGUGCCAGCAGCCGCGGUAAUACGUAGGGGGCAAGCGGUAACCGGAUUUACUGGGUGGAAGGGGAGCGAAGACGGCAGGGAAAGUCUGGGGUGAAAGCCCGGGGCCGAACCUCGGGACUGAUUUCGCAACUGCGAGGUUAGAGUGCUGGGAAGGUAAGCGUACUGCAGAGUGGAGCGGUGAAAGGCGUAGAUAUUAGGAGGUACACCAGUGGCGAAGGCGGGUUAAUGGACAGUAACUGACGUUGCGGCUCGAAAGCGUGGGGAGCAAACAGGAUUAGAUACCCUGGUAGUC